GUGCUCGCUUUGGCAACAUACAUGCUAAAAUUGGAACGAUACAGAGAAGAUUAGCAUGGCUGCUGUGUAAGGAUGACACGCAAGUUCUUGAAGCAUUCCAUGUUUUA
ensembl:snRNA U6 U6 spliceosomal RNA